rnacentral:rRNA from 1 species
UAGAGCUUCGAGCCUCUAAAGGGUUGUCGUAGACUACGACGUUGAUAGGCAGGGUGUGUAAGCGCUGUGAGGCGUUGAGCUAACCUGUACUAAUUGCCCGUGAGGCUUAACCAUACAACACCCAAG